rnacentral:rRNA from 1 species
AGGACGAACGCUGGCGGCGUGCUUAACACAUGCAAGUCGAGCGAGGCCCUCUCUUCGGAGAGGUGCCCUAGCGGCGAACGGGUGAGUAACACGUGGGCAACCUGCCCCUAGCACUGGGAUAAGCCCGGGAAACCGGGUCUAAUACCGGAUAUGACCUUCAAGGGCAUCCUCGAAGGUGUAAAGGAUUCUGGCUAGGGAUGGGCCCGCGGCCUAUCAGCUUGUUGGUGGGGUAAUGGCCCACCAAGGCAACGACGGGUAGCCGGCCUGAGAGGGCGACCGGCCACACUGGGACUGAGACACGGCCCAGACUCCUACGGGAGGCAGCAGUGGGGAAUAUUGCACAAUGGGCGAAAGCCUGAUGCAGCGACGCCGCGUGAGGGAUGACGGCCUUCGGGUUGUAAACCUCUUCAGCUCCGACGAAGCGAAAGUGACGGUAGGAGCAGAAGAAGCACCGGCCAACUACGCGCCAGCAGCCGCGGUAA